rnacentral:rRNA from 1 species
UUACACAUGCAGUCGAACGGUAGCACAGAGAGCUUGCUCUCGGGUGACGAGUGGCGGACGGGUGAGUAAUGUCUGGGAAACUGCCUGAUGGAGGGGGAUAACUACUGGAAACGGUAGCUAAUACCGCAUAACGUCGCAAGACCAAAGAGGGGGACCUUCGGGCCUCUUGCCAUCAGAUGUGCCCAGAUGGGAUUAGCUAGUAGGUGGGGUAACGGCUCACCUAGGCGACGAUCCCUAGCUGGUCUGAGAGGAUGACCAGCCACACUGGAACUGAGACACGGUCCAGACUCCUACGGGAGGCAGCAGUGGGGAAUAUUGCACAAUGGGCGCAAGCCUGAUGCAGCCAUGCCGCGUGUAUGAAGAAGGCCUUCGGGUUGUAAAGUACUUUCAGCGGGGAGGAAGGUGUUGUGGUUAAUAACCACAGCAAUUGACGUUACCCGCAGAAGAAGCACCGGCUAACUCCGUGCCAGCAGCCGCGGUAAUACGGAGGGUGCAAGCGUUAAUCGGAAUUACUGGGCGUAAAGCGCACGCAGGCGGUCUGUCAAGUCGGAUGUGAAAUCCCCGGGCUCAACCUGGGAACUGCAUUCGAAACUGGCAGGCUGGAGUCUUGUAGAGGGGGGUAGAAUUCCAGGUGUAGCGGUGAAAUGCGUAGAGAUCUGGAGGAAUACCGGUGGCGAAGGCGGCCCCCUGGACAAAGACUGACGCUCAGGUGCGAAAGCGUGGGGAGCAAACAGGAUUAGAUACCCUGGUAGUCCACGCCGUAAACGAUGUCGAUUUGGAGGUUGUGCCCUUGAGGCGUGGCUUCCGGAGCUAACGCGUUAAAUCGACCGCCUGGGGAGUACGGCCGCAAGGUUAAAACUCAAAUGAAUUGACGGGGGCCCGCACAAGCGGUGGAGCAUGUGGUUUAAUUCGAUGCAACGCGAAGAACCUUACCUGGUCUUGACAUCCACAGAACUUAGCAGAGAUGCUUUGGUGCCUUCGGGAACUGUGAGACAGGUGCUGCAUGGCUGUCGUCAGCUCGUGUUGUGAAAUGUUGGGUUAAGUCCCGCAACGAGCGCAACCCUUAUCCUUUGUUGCCAGCGGUUAGGCCGGGAACUCAAAGGAGACUGCCGUGA